rnacentral:rRNA from 1 species
CGGUGACUGCGUACCUUUUGUAUAAUGGGUCAGCGACUUAUAUUCUGUAGCAAGGUUAACCGUAUAGGGGAGCCGCAGGGAAACCGAGUCUUAACUGGGCGUUAAGUUGCAGGGUAUAGACCCGAAACCCGGUGAUCUAGCCAUGGGCAGGUUGAAGGUUGGGUAACACUAACUGGAGGACCGAACCGACUAAUGUUGAAAAAUUAGCGGAUGACUUGUGGCUGGGGGUGAAAGGCCAAUCAAACCGGGAGAUAGCUGGUUCUCCCCGAAAGCUAUUUAGGUAGCGCCUCGUGAACUCAUCUUCGGGGGUAGAGCACUGUUUCGGCUAGGGGGUCAUCCCGACUUACCAACCCGAUGCAAACUACGAAUACCGAAGAAUGUUAUCACGGGAGACACACGGCGGGUGCUAACGUCCGUCGUGAAGAGGGAAACAACCCAGACCGCCAGCUAAGGUCCCUAAAUCAUCGCUAAGUGGUAAACGAUGUGGAAAGUCAUAGACAGCCAGGAUGUUGGCUUAGAAGCAGCCAUCAUUUAAAGAAAGCGUAAUAGCUCACUGAUC